CAGAACUGCGGAGCUGACCACUGUAGCCACUGUAUGGGGACACAACCUUCGGACCUGAAAGGUACAACAAGAAAACAGACAACAUAGAACUGCUAGACGACCCUUCAAUGGAGGAAGAAACCAUCUGUUCACAGCAGAGCAGGAACAACACAUAGUGAAUGAGGUCAUUUCAAACAACAGCAUAUGUUUACGACAACUGCAUCACCACAUCAUCACUGACAACACAACAUUCAGUAACAUAAAUAGGGUGAGUUUAUCCGGACUUGGCCGUCUCCUGAAACGCCAUCAUAUUCAUAUGAAGCAGCUCUACAGAGUACCAUUUGAGGAAAAUUCUGACAGAGUGAAACAACUGCGCUGUGAAUACGUACAAAUAGUUAUGGAACUAGAUGCUGCUGCAGAACAUCAUGAUUUUGUCUAUGUUGAUGAGGUCGACUUUAACCUAGCCAAAACAAGACGCAGGGGAAGAAACCUCAUAGGACACCGCACCAUCAUCAAUGACAGCGUGGCAACAUCACAAUGUGUGCAGCCAUUAGUCAGAACGGUGUCCUUCAUCAUCAUGCCACUUUUGCUCCUUACAAUACUGCCCACAUUAUCACCUUCCACGACAUCCUGCAUAAUAUCCUCAUUCGCAAUGCCAGAGGAAUGGGCCAGAGCAGUCCAGGUUUGUUGUCAUCUGGGUCAACGUAAGUUUCCAACGGGAUGCUCUAGUGUGCAAUUGGUUCAUUGACCAUCCGCAAGUUGAUGCUCAACCUACCACCAUAUUCUCCAUUUCUAAACCCAUUUCGAAGAGUUAUUUUCAGCAUGGCGUUAGAUGGUAUAUGAUCACCAACCCACCAACGCAUAUCCCUUCUCCAGGCGAUGGAGGAGGCCUGUGGUGACAUAGACGAGGGGGCAUGACAGGGCUGGAUACGCCACUCCAGAUGCUACUUCCCCCGCUGUUUAGCCAGAGAGAACAUCGCUUGUUGAUGAGGUGCUGUGGCCAUACCCAAAUAUGGGACAGGAUGCUGCCUAAUUGUUUUUUUCUUUAUAGUAAAAAGCCUGUUUGUUUAUCUUCUACUGUAUUUGUUCAGUCUGUUACAGUUCAUCCCGAAAUCAUGAUGAAAAUACAAUGUUUUGAGAAAUAAAUACAUUUUAUUUCCCCCCCUUGCAUUUCUGUUUAUAGUGUAAAUAUAUACUGAAUAUGCAUACAUACUGUAUAUAUCUGUGCACAUACAGUACAUGC